CAGAGAGAUCUAGAAUCCCACGGGCUCAGCUUGAGGGGCUGAGGCCAGUCUGUUCAUUGCACCUGAAGACAAAGGGCUAUGGCACCCACUGGGCUCCUCCUCCCUCCUCCUGGGGCUCUGGGCAGGGCCAUCAACCCCCUUGCCUCUGCAGAGGUAGUGGAGAGAACCUGAGUUUUGCUGACAGAGAGGUGUGCCUGCCUAUUCUGGAGCUGCCACUGCCCAAAGGAACAAAGUCAAUUCUCUAAACCUCGAUUUUCUUUUCUGGAAAUUGGUGCAACAAUAUCUAUCCCAAGAAACUGUUGAAAGAUUAGAAAUGUUAUUUGUACAGCAUCAGGCACUUCAUAAAUGUCAUGGCUGGCAGGGCAGAGUAGCGACCUGCCCGGAGGCUGUCCCUCUUUGUGGGGGAGAAGGCACAGCAUGUUUUACUUGGUCCUGCUGGUGCUGGUGGGAACCACCACCUGCAGAUUAGCUCCAGCGCGAACCCCAGCCUUUUUUGUUAUACUCUGAGGCUCACCUGAGGCUCUGUGAUAAAGGAUGGACCACAUAUUGUGUCUUCAACAAAGACCAUCUCAGUGACGCAUGGGAAAGAAGUGUACCAGAUGGGGAGAUUAUCCUAGAUUAUCCUGUGGGCCCAAGGUAAUCACAAUGGAUCUUAAAGGUGGGAGCUGGAGACAGAAGAGAGUCAGACCAGGAGAUGUGAGGAUGUCAGAGUGAUGCGAUGUGGGAAGGACGAGGCCUGAAGUUGCUGACUUUGAGGAUGGAGAGAGGAGUCACAAGUCAAGGAAUGUGGACAACCUGUAGAAGAUGGAAAAGGGUUACGACAGGGGAGAGGCAAGUUUACAGCAUGAAUCUCCAGGGCAGCUUUUUCCGCCCUUUCUGACCCAGGUGUCUACAAGCCCCUGGAAUGAACAACCCAGUUACCCUUCUGUGGAGGAAAUGGCUGUGAGAACUGGAGAAGGGCACGGCUGUGGGAACGGGACGUAAAGUCAGAGCCAGGAGGAGAGUCACUGUCUAAGGUCACAGAGCCAGCUCAGAGUGCUCCGCUGCUCCUGGGGUUGCAGAGGGGCUACAGAGGGGCUGCAGAGGGUAUGAGCCAAGAAGGAGGCUUAUGGGACCACCUCAUACACAUUAAGAUGGCUACUAUCAAAAAAACAACAACCAGAAAAUGACAAGUGUUGGCAGGAUGUGGAGACAUUGGAAGCUGGUGCUUUGCUGGUGGGAAAGUAGAAGUUGCAGCAGCUAUGGAAAAUGCUCCAACGGUCCCUCAAAAGGCUGAAAUCAGAGACCUCCGUGGUGUUUCAGAGGACAGGAGGGUGUGCAGAGGACGCCCCAGAAAUCUUUCCCACAGGAGAAAGGCUCAGAAGACCAAGCCAGCUACCCUACAGUCACCAAAGGCCCCCAUGUGGUGGAGCAGGGGAGCAGGGCAGCUGGGUCCUGAAGGAGAAGGUUCCUGAACUGCCUGGGGACAGCAAAAAUGAUGACUUUUCUAAAGCCCACCUGGAGCUGCUUGGAAGCAGAUCCUGAAUACGUGGCUCUAGAAGGCAAGACCCUGUGACUCACAGGGCCUUGGGCAUCCUGCAUCUCAGGAAUGCCAGUGUUCAUGGACAGCAGACUGCCCGAGGUGUAAUCGGUGUCUUCCCGGUGCUAGCUGUUUACUUGCACACAUCUAGGCAAACUUCUCAGCCUCCCCUGGCCUCCAUUACAGGAAAACAGGAAUUCUCUCCUGCCCCUACCUCACAGGAUGGGCCUAGGACCAGCUGAUGUGCUGGUUAACACAGACCUUUCCAGAGAGACGUGCUCAUCAGAUACAAGGCAGGCAUAUCCUCAUCAUUUUGAGUACAUUGACAAUUAGCCCAAGGAGAACCCGCAGGGCUGGGACCACCCUAAUGUGGCACAAAGGGAAGCCAGUGGAGAGCCAACUGAGAGCUCUGGCCUGUCAGGUUGUAUAGAAAUGUCACAGAGAGAGUAGCUCUCAUAGCUGACAACACCCUGUGGGGGGCUGGGGCUGAGGCAAGGAACAGAGAGGAGAAACUCCUUAAGCAAAGGAUCUAGUAGUGUCUUUCUCUCAAGACAGGCCUUUCAAGGAGCAACUUGCUCCACACCAGACUUUUUCUCUUUUCCAAAAGCUCAAGCUCCUCUUCCUCACGAUGACAGCCAUGGUGGUCUCCAGCUGACACUGUAUUCACUCUAGGAAUGACUUCAAGGUGGGUUUCCUGAUGGCUCAUGAAGGUAGCUUCGCUAAACCACACACUGUAAAUCAAGUACAUUUUUCCAGCCAUUUGCAUUGAAAAUGGCAGGCAUUUGGCCACACACUUUGUGGAGGGAUGCACUUGUCGGUUGCCUUCGAAGAAGAGCAGAGUGAGGAGCGCUGGGAGGACGAGAGAGCACGGGCUGAGCAGCAUAGGGGGAAGGACACCAAGCUCAAGAGGCAGCUACAUGAGAUAGUGAAGAAGGACAGCCGUCUUGGGAUUCCUCUGCAGGGCUAUCAAGUUAAUUCCACGUGCUGAGGUCAUGGAGUGUCACGUGGGGUACUAGAUUGCCGGUGGUGGAGACAGAAGACGGAGGUGACACAGAAGCAUAAAACAACACUCCUACUCACGAAGAAUUCACCCAGGAAGGCAGAAGAAAUAAAGAACAGAAAUAAAGGAAGGAAUACAUGAACAGGAAGGAUUUUCCUUUUCCCAGAGAAGACCUGAUUCUUGUAAAGGGCUUUAACAUGUUCAAAUACAUGACGGGUUUCGUCUUCACAGCGUUUUUUUUUUUUUUUUUUCCUUUUUCUCCCCAAAGCCCCCCGGUACAUAGUUGUAUAUUCUUCGUUGUGGGUCCUUCUAGUUGUGGCAGGUGGGAUGCCGCCUCAGCGUGGUUUGAUGAGCAGUGUCAUGUCCGCGCCCAGGAUUCGAACCAACGAAACACUGGGCCGCCUGCAGCGGAGCGCGCGGACUUAACCACUCGGCCACGGGGCCAGCCCCUCGUCUUCACAGCCUUUCGAGGGAGCUGCUUGUACACAUGAGAACAGUGAGGCUCGAGUUCACAUCCAUGAAAACCGUGGGCGGACCACAGUGCCCUCUGUGAAUCCAGACCUUGGGGCAGGCGAGGGAUAGGAAGAAGGGCUUCAGAACCCAAGCUGCCAUGCUGACGUGGACCCAAGGAGAGGCCCUCCUGGGCCAAGGACGAGGGUUGGGGUGAAUGACUCUGGGUUCAGAGACAGCUCUUGUUGCCUGGGUCAGGGGAAGGCACAGUGGGCGAACAGCGUGGAGGGGGAGAGGCCCACUGGCCUGGGGUCUCAGCUGGUCUUGGCCUCUCCCAUUUCUUCUGGUCUUAAGAAUCUGGAGGGGAGUCAAAUAACACUCUUCUCCAGGGAACAGCACCCCUCAUUCCACUGCCUACUCUGGGGACUCUGUCCCAGCCUUAUACUCAGGCCACUCAGAACCCCAGGCUCCAUCUUCCUCACUCAUCUGCUAAUUUAUGCAGACAUGGGC
ensembl:lncRNA